AAACUAGCAAAGUGGAAACAGGCCAAAAUGGAGGUUAGUAGUUAUUGUCAGUGUUGUUACUUGAGGAAAAAAGUGUAUAGCUGGGAAUGCUCAGGUUCCCAUUUGUCCCAUAACCCAUCUCAGAAGUUUUUCCAGUUCAAUAAUCACAAGUAUAAAUACCAAAAUCUGGCAGAAAUGUGAGAACACUGAUUUGCUAGCUAACAAAAGAAUUUUAAUGAGCUGUCAACAAAAAACAAAGUAAUUAGAAAGCUACCUUUUUGAACGCUUGUGUUGUGGGUUCACUCUCAAUCCCAGCAUUUUACCGUCACCGCUCAUCCCAAACACCAUCUCUGCAAACACGUAAAUUUCAGUGAGGCAAAAACAUCUCCAAGAAACAAGAAAACCAAACAGAGGAAGCAGAGGAAAAAUAGUUACCAUUACACUCCAGAAAAGCCAGCGAGAACCCUGAUGGAGUAUUUGAUAGAUGAAAAAAAGAAAAGACCCAGCAGACGAACAGUGAACAAAUAGUUCUCAAAGGCCUUUAAUUAGACUCCAAAGCUUUAACUUUCCCACUAGCAUUUCAGCAAGCAAGAGCUUCCAGGAAGUAGCCACAAAGUUAUCACUUGCUUGCUGCUAACAGAGUCUGAAAAUGGCAGAGCUGAAACGGUUCACAAAAAACGACUCAAAAAAGACGACUCAAAAAAGACGACCCUUUUGACCGGUGAGCUUCUCUUUCAAGAUACUGAGUGUUAAAAUGUUUAGCUUUUGCAAAUGGAGGAGCUUUGGCUUUUCGUUAAAAGAAGUAAAACCAGCUCGUGGGCUUUAAUGGAAGUAGAAAAGAGGUAGACCCCUGAAUGUCAAAGGGUCCAAAAGUGGACAAUUUUUCUUUCACUCAACCAGAGGACGAGUGAGACGACGAUAAAUAGUGGCUCCGAGUCUGGGUCUAUGUAUAGCGUGCGUGAACAAAGAUCAUAUUUUUAAUGUCAUAAAAAUAACAAACACGAAAUUUCCACAUUCUCUUCUCUUGUUGUGAAGCAAGUGGGAGUUGGUGACCGCCCCUCCACCCUUGUCCCUUACUAUUUGCUUUGCUCUAACAUAGGUCUAAGACUAGUAUGAUAUGUAGGGCUGGCUACAUAUGGAGCAUUGCAUGCCAUUGCUAUAUAUUUACAAAUAAAAAAAAAACUGAUUAAUGACAAUACCAUUGCUACAAAUAGGAGUUGCAACUAAAAUUACAUUUCUUGGAUAAGAAAAGAGAUUACUUGAUUUUUUUCUCUAUCGUUCGUAAGUAGAUUAAAUGGUUAAAAGUAUUUUAAUUCACAAUAAAUUUUGUAUAUUAACUCUAUAAACAAAUCCUCCAUGCUAUGUAAGAAAUUGUGGUGUUGCAUAAGUGCAUACAACAAACCAUGCUUCCAAUAUUGUUAAUGUCACAUCAAAUUGUUUCCUCUUUUACAUUCUUUUCCAAAAAUCAAUUUCACAUUGACUUUGUGCAUCUAAAACUUGUGUAUGCGAGAUGGAACAUAGCAUUACUCUUUGUGAAUGGUGAUCUGUCAAUUCAUUACAUGGCAACAAGAUGAUUUAUGAGUUCAACCCAAGAGUUCAAGCAAAGUCAGUGGCAUGUUGUUUUAGGAUGAAGUAGUUCUAAGUCCACAUAAUUGGAAUUGUAGAAAUACAUAAUUUGGGAUAAUGCUUGUGGAUUGAAAUUUAUCUGAGCCAAGACAAUUGUGAGCAAAAACCAAAAAUGGGUUGUGUCCAAUAAUGACUUGGUCACAAAUGUUUUGGUUUUAGAAGAAAAGCAAAGCUUCCCCAUCAAAAGGGAUGAAAGGUGAGGGAUAAAGGAGACAUAGGAUGCUUGAAAGCAAGAGGAUUUGAGAGCUUUCUCUUUGUCUAAAUCUCUUUUGAGAAAACAGUUGAUGCCCAAACUGUCCUUCAGUGUCAAGGGGACUAACGUUUGUCACAGAAUCCACCGAAUAAAAUAUGUUUUAUAUUACAUGGGGCUUGACCUUUUCCAAUUCCAAUGGUCCAAUACAAAAGAAAAAAGAUGAAUGGCAGCGUGGUAAGGUGGCCAGUCUCUCUCUUUUUGUCGUGAUAUUCACCUAAUUGGGGAAAAUAAAAGGAAAAGGCUUCGUUUUUCACUGCAAUGAGAGAUACUCUUUUUUGGGUCUGAGGCUGAGCAAUGAGAGAGACUUUUCUUUUUCAAUGGCAGAAACCUUUUUUAACUGAAUUAUUUACUAGGUACCUUUUAUAUUGAGAUUGCUGAAACCAAAAGCCUAGUGUAACUUGCUUCAAAAAAUAGCCUAUUUCAAAUAUACAAACCUGGAUUCUGGCAAUGCAAUGUAAUUGGACUCUCAUGUCCAUUUGAAUGAAUUAUCCUUCCCACGAAAGUAAAUCUUAAUAUAACCUCAAAGAAUAGCCUAGUGUAUUAUGAGAGUGAAAAUAAGGGUUUAGUCCAAAAUCCAAGAUAUAAGGUAAGAAGGAAAAUAAAAAAUUACGAGCAUUUUCAAGAAUUUUGCUUCUAUCUAUCAUCUAUGUCUAUGUGUAUAUGAUGCGUACUUGCAUCAAUCAAUGGUUAGUAGUCACUUUCAUGUCUAAUUAAAUAGUAGCCACAAGCGUGUAGAAGACCGAAAUUUGUCUCCAUCAAUUUAAAUUUUUUAGUACACAAGAAACAACCCUAUCAUUAGGCUCGUUAGUUGAAAUGAAAACGAGUUAUAUACAGUAUGCUAUGCCUUAUUAGGCUUGGUUUAUUUAGCAUCAGAAAUCCUUUUCAAUAUUAUCUUUGCGUAGGGAUUCUUCAUCUGGGGUUGAGGGUAGAGACAGAAAAUAUGGUUCCUUUUGGAUCCAUCUGACAUUUUAAGCUCCAUUUACUAGGGGUUGAAGCUUUUGGUUCCAAUAAAUAAACAAAUGAAACUUCUAUUUUAUCUUAUUAUCAAAAUGUUUAUACAAGUCAGAUGGAUGGUUUCACGAAGCCAAAAUUGUAUGUGUAUAUAUAUAUAUAUAUAUAUAUAUAUAUAUUAUGUAUUCAAUUGCAGAGUAGGAGAAUCUUCAAAUUUUCAAAUAAAAACUGACAGACAUGCUUCAUGGAAAUUUGGAUUUAUAAGUUGCAUUAAUGAUAUUCUUUAGUCGUGGACCACAAGAAACGACAUCCUUGCUACAAGGAUCAAAGAGAGUGGGACACAGAGUUCCAUGCUACUGAGAUCUCUCUCAGGAAGUUGUUAGUUUUCCAAAGAAUCCAAACACAAGAUUAGGUUAACACAAGGUUUUGCCAUUGAUUUUAAAUCAAUAAAACGUCUGUCAUAUAGCUUAAAAUCAAAUUUUAAGAACUUGGGGGACAUAAACAACACUAGCUGCAAGCCUGCAACAUACACAUAUCAAGAUGCAGAGAAAGAGAUGUGCAGCAUGAGUGGUAAAAGAAGACAAAUUAGAAGUGGAAAUGCAUUUGAAAUUCAAAAGAAGCUCAUAAAAUUAGAUGGAAACUGCAGCUUCUGAAGCAGGGUGGCUUUGUUUUUUGCUGGUUUCACUAUAUUUUCCUAUUCUUUAUAUGAAAACGUUAAAUAAAAUCUAGAACAUGUUCUGUUAUCAGAACUUCAUCAUUUUGUUUGUGACCAAACAGAUGUUCUCUCACUACUGAUUCAAUGACCUUGAGCAAUUUCUUGACUGAUGGGCAAGUUCUGUUUUCAUUCAACAAUCAUUCAACAAUCAGUCAAUGCCCCACUUUGUGGGGUCUACACUACAUAUUUACAUAUAAAGAAGGAACAAUGCAAUGAUUCACAUGGGAAAACUAAUUGAAGCAUGGCUUGAUUUUUAUGCUUGGUCCUUGAAACUGAAAGAAAAUGGGUAAUCUUAAAUAAGACUUCACAGAGGUUUUUUUUGGGUAGAGAAAUAUGAGGUACCCAAAUGUACAGAGCUAAAGAUGAAGCAGAAUCUGUGCUUCUUGAUCUGAGGCUGCUGCUCAUGCAUCAUCUAUCACUGAGUGGGGACUGGUCAGUGAGUUGCCUCGAGUUGGCAAAAACUAGAUCCACAUAAAAAAUUGUCCUUAAGCAAAUUAGCUUAGCUAUGAGGAGGGGAGAGAGAGACCAUUUUGUGUAAAAAUGGGGAAGAAUUUUUUCUUUUCUUUUCUUUUAUUUUUUUCCUUCUUGUUUUUAGUUGUUGGGUUGAAUAAACUCUGUUUUGGGUUGGGGAAGGUGAAGAAUCCCACAAGUGGGACAGAAAAGGAGAACUUUCCAAAGACAUUUGGACAAGUGAGUCAAUGCCAAUGAUAACCAGCAAAAGGCAUCUCUCUUUCUCUCCCUCCUAGUUUUGCCCCUCAACCCCAUCUCUCUCUCUCUCUCUCUCUCUCUCUCUCUGUGUAGGGUGGUGGAUGGUCCAACACCAAAAGGGUUUGCCUACUUGAUCUAAAUGCAAAUCAUUUAUGCUUAGAAAAACCCAUAUCCAAUUAUACUUUUCAAUUUUAACAACAUAAAAAAUGCUUAUAAAAAAACAACAUAAAAACUAUAUAUCUUAAAAAAGUUUUGGUCAUGAGAACUUUUAAGGUGCCACUAAUAACAUAACUACUAUUAUCUACCACUGGGGUCCAAUACCAGCACCACCUCUCUUCUGCAACCUCUACAUAGCAUGGGAGAAAAUAAAUCGAUUUCUAAUAUUUUUGGGCCUCAAAAUUUUUGGUUGUGCUAAGUUUUCUACCGAAAUGGGCUGGUCCAUGCAUCAUUGAUGGGGUCUUCUGUUCGGAUAGCCCAUAGCUCCAUUCACUGGGCUUUUGGUUACAAAAGCUUUUCUCAAUUUUUUUUUCAGCAGUGGUUACAGAAGCUUUAGUGUGCCUUUGCAAUCAGAAGUCUUAUUUAAGGAGAAGGUGACAACAGAUGAAGAUUUUAGAAAGAUUUCAUUGACAAGUGAGAAUUUUACAUGAAAUCACAGGCAAGAACAAGACUAGAAAGAAAAAACGAAAAAACAGAAAAACAGAAAAACAUAAAAAAGGGCAUAAACCCAGUGCACCAGCUGGUAAUUUUAUAAAUGCUCUCCAACACACAGAUGAGCGAACGUUCUUAACGCACAUACAUGCAUUUGCCUCGAACACAUUCGCCGCUAUUGAAGUCAUACCAUACGCCAUUCUGCACAUUUCAUGGCAAUGGCCUCUCGUUUCGCAACCUUGCUUGGAGACCGGACAAGGAGUCAUCACCUCACACUACUUGUGCUUAUUGCUCUUAUUAGGCUUAGCAGCAUGAUGACUCUUACGUUUAGUUAGAUGCCUUAUGCUUAGUCACACGAUUCUUCUGCUUUGUUUUAUUACCCUCAAUUGCCAUCGACUCAAUCUUUGCUAAUAUGCGUCAUCCAUAAAUCAAUCGAAAGAAUUCUAGUAUGUAUAGCAAGGAACGUUUUCUUGUCAAAUUUAUGUUGUCACACUGUGAUUCUGAACUCUCAACAUUCAAGAAAUAAUCACACUAAUUAUGGUCAUGAUUCGUACUUCAAUAUGUUUUUUAAAGAACAUUUUUCGUGCAUAUAUGAGCUAUAUGGUUCAUGAUUAUGCAUGCAGAAGGCAUCAUUUUUUGCCACUUUCAUUCAGGCGCCGCACAUCCAAAUGCUUUUAUAUCUUAAUUAGGUCUAAGGUCUAAGGGUUAAGGUUGAAAGAUCAAAUUAGCAAGGGGCAAUGGAAAAAUACCGGUAAUCACCAGAAGGAGAAUGAGGAGGAGGGCAAGUGAAAAUAAAUGCAUGGAGCGUGCCAUCUUUGAUCUUAUUACGUGUAUGGUUGUGUGUGAAGGAAGAGAUGGAGCUUUUUGGGAUGCAAAUGGGUAUUAACCUUGCAAGGAUUUUAUAAAGAGUUUGCGGAAGGGAUACAUAAAAAGGAUUUGUGGCUAUUUAGCUAAUGAACUUGUGGCUUCACAAUUGAGGGGGGAGAGAGUGGCUUUUUCUUUUCUUUUUUUCUUUUUUUUUUUGGUGAUGAAAAGAGAGUGGCUAUUUAGCUAAUAAACUUGCAAUGCUUUUCGACAGGAAAAACAAAAAAACAAAAAAAAACCUUUAAAUGAGCGCUUCAAUCAAAGAUUAAAAGUACUUAGAUUAAGAACUCAAACAGGGCCUUAGUGAUUCGUAUUGCCAGUCUCUUGCGCAAAAGCGAUCACCCUCUCCAUUCACUCAAAGCGAUUCAAGCAGCAGAUACUAAUCUCUGAUGUCGGUAGGUUGAAGCUUGCAUUACAUUACCCGCAUUUGCGUUUAGGGUUUUACAUAUACAAAUGGAAUUGAUUUCUGUUUGAAAUGGCUGUGCAGAUCUUCGAGUACAAUGGGAGUGCCCUGAUCGCAAUGGUGGGCAAGAACUGCUUCGCCAUUGCAAGCGAUCGAAGGCUCGGUGUUCAGCUCCAGACAAUCGCCACCGAUUUCCAGAGAAUUCAUAGAGUUCACGAUGGGCUCUUUAUCGGCCUCUCUGGUCUCGCCAUCGAUGCUUAGACCCUACCCUGUAUGUAUAUGCCCCUCUCACCUUGUUUAAUAGAAAGACAUUAACUUUUGGGUUGAUGAUGAAGGUUUCAGAGGCUUUUGUUUCGGCACAAGCUGUACCAGCUUCGUAAAGACAGAGACAUAAAGCCUGAGACUUUUGCGUCUCUGCUAUUCUUUAUGAGAAAAGGUUUGAAAUAUUCUUGAGCAAUUUGAUAAUGAGGUGCUAUUGAAUAUGUUAGCUUAAUCUGAAUGUUGAGGUCUGUACAAUCAUGCCUUUUUGUGAUUUACGUUUGGUUCAUACUUCUGUGUUCUGUCUGUCAGCCUGUAAUUGCUGGAUUGGGAGAUGAAGGUAAGCCAUUCUUCUGCACUAUGGAUUCAACUGGAGCCAAGUAGGUUUGUUUUUUCUUUUCCCUUUCUUUUCCGACUUUUUCGCAUUUUUAGAGCUGCUGGGAUGGGAUGCUAAGGACUUCAAACAAAUUUCUUCAACCUUCCUAAGUAGAAUGCAUAUGCAUGUUUACUCGUAUUUUGAUUUUAUAUGUUUAUGUGCAUCUAUCAUUUCAUAUUGGUAUUAUUUGUCUUCUGUGUAUGCUCCCUACUAGCCAAGAUUUUGUUGUUGCUGGCACUGCAUCAGAGUCCCUUUAUGGUGCUUGUGAGGCAAUGUUCAAGUCUGAGAUGGUUUGUUGCUUUGUUCUUUCCACUGGGCAGUCAAGAUUUGUUAUUUGAUCUGCUUACAUUUUUUCGUAUUUGAGAUUUUCAUUUGAAUACACUUUAGAUGUUAUGGAAAAUCAUAUAAUUAACAUUCGAGAACUUGAAUCCAUGCUGUCACUGGCCAUGACUUUUUAAGUCUUUGUUAUUAUCACACUACUGAUAGUAGCAGAGAAAGGGUCUACAGAAUAGAAGUCAAGAAAAAACAAGCUGAGGGAUCUCCUAAGUUUUACCUUCUUGGUCCUAUAUUGUCAGCAGCCAAGUGCUUCUUGAACUAGACAUAUAUGGGGAUAAACAAUUGGCUUCCUUGCCAGAUGUGCUUGAAUAAUAAUUCGUAGGAUUUUUUGGCGCUUAACUCGUGGUAGAAUUUAUUACGCGCUAAUUAGUUAGACGUAAUUGGGUUGGUGAUUGCUGCUUUUACUUCUAAUUCUAAAUUUGGUACUCCUGUUUAUUUUCUUACUAUUUGCAGGAACUGUAAUAACAGUAUAUUUUCUAAUUAUUUAGGGAACCAGAGGAAUUCUUUGAGAUUGUUUCUCAAGCAUUGCUAUCAUCAGAUGAUCAAGAUUGUCUGAGUGGGUGGGGAGGCCAUGUCUAUGUAGUGUAAGCCUUUUCUUACUCCCUACUUUUUUUCUUCUAAGCAAUAUCACUAACUGUGUUAUAACUUAUCCAUAAAAAUAGGUAAUGUACAGUGGAGCUGUUCCUCUUGAAUGAGAUUUUAAUUUUCUUCCAAUUUUUUUUUUCUCAUUCAUACUUGGAAUUAGGCAGGGCCUAAUAUUCUAAUUUCAUUGCUUCCAUCGUCUAAGCUGCCAAAGAUAGCGACUAGGCUAUCUUCAUAAUAUUUCACCCUCAUUUUAUGCUGGAGGUUAUUACCACCAUUUAAAAUGCGCAUUCACAUUGCUGCAGAAACACCAACUGAAGUGAAGAAGAGGAUCUUGAAGGGCAGAAUGGAUUGACCUAGCUUCCAGCAUUUACCCAACCCUUCUAAAUUUCGUUCAGGCUGCUGCAUUUUCUCCUCUCAUGUAUAUUUAUGCAGCUUUGACUUGAAUGGGCAGCCAUAAGCCUUCUUGGUGACCAAAGGUCCCCUUGUUAUGUGGUGGGUAAAGUUUAGUGUAAUUUAAUCAAGAAGACUCAGAGUUGGAUAAUCUGAUUUAUACUACACAAUUUUGUUUUUUUUGUUAUGAAAAGACAUAACAACCCAAAUUUAUUUGUUUAUGUUUUAAGCUUUGCGUCAGCUCAGCUAGUCUUUCUUUCUUCCUCUAGAUAUUGUGCAGCACUACUUGAUGAAUUAUGUCCUGUUAACUCAAAAAAAGCAAGAACCAGCUUUAGAAUAAAGCCACAAAGGGUUCCAAAAAGAAUAUAUAUAAAUAAAUAAAAGCACUGCACAAAAACGAAAAAAUAAAGUGAAGAAACAACAACCACAACAAGGAGUCAGAUGAGGCUUCAGAACUUGUCCUGCUGCAACCGCUAUUUGCAGAAGUUGAAAAGCAAAAACAAGAAAUUGAAGAAGAAAGUUCGUACCUGCACUCAUUUCUAUCUUCCACACCAAACAGAGCCACUGUGGAUUGUACCUUCUUUGUAGUGUAGUUAGAGGUCACGUGGGAAGCCGACACAGUUCAAUCAAUAACAAGUGAACUGCCCACUUGACUUAACUGAAAACACACACAAAAAUUAUGAUAUUAAUAAUAACACCUGUUUGGAUGAAAUUAUUGUGUUGGUAUUACACCUCUAUUUGGAUGAAGGAAAUGACGGAAUUUAAAUCUCCAUUAUUUAAAGUCAUGGGAAUUAAUAACUUCGAUAUUUGGAUUUAUGUAUGUCAAAUUUUGUAAAUGACAUAAAUUACAGUAAAAAUGAAUUCUUACUCAAUUGGAAUUGCAAAAUGACGACUCUUUUGGUGGAAAUUAAACUCGAGAAUCUCGAUUUCCAAUUUCCAUGAUUUUUCCCGUGCGUCAUUUAAUAAGUUUCAUGUUUAAGUUGUCAAACAAUGGAAAUAUCAAUUUCUUCUCUUUGAUUCCCGACUUUUAGCUAAAUUCCGAGUUAUUUUCCUUCGUAAAAAACGGAGGAUUGUAGAAUUUAUUAAGCUAUACCCUCAUAUAUUAGAUCCUAAUUAAUUGUAGACGUGUUAUAACUUUCAUGGUCUUUGUGUAACACGACUCGGUGUUGAAAUACACUUUAUUGAAUAAAAAGAAUGAGAUUUCGAUAUUUAGUUUGUUUAUUUGAGAUCUCGUAAUGAAGUGGGGUUAUCGUGUUGUUAAUAAUUAACAUAUUCUCGAAUAAUAAAAACAAUCGAUAGUUCAUGUGAACUUUUUUAGUAGUAUUUCUCUUUCCAAAAUUAAAAGCAUGUCUAAAUUUAAAUAUCCAUUACUAAAAAAAUAGCGAGUUAGUUAGGUCAUGCGUUGGCAUCACUACAUGAAUAUAUGAGUUUUCUCAAAUUAAAAGGAAACAUAUAAUAUAAAUGCUAAUUAGCAUCCCAUCUGUCGUAUGCAGGAUCCUUGUAUAAAUCGUGGUUAAUUGUACACAACCCAAUUUUUCGAUUUCCUUCCCAAAAAAAGAGAGACGUACAUCGUUUAAACCCGAAAAGGCCCCGGAAAAAAAAAAAAAAACCAAUAUUUCAGAACAAAAGAGAGGUCAAAGGGAGAGGAAGACUAAAAAAAGGGUGGCAUUUUAAAUAAUAAUAAAAAUAAGAAAAUUCAUGAAUCCAAAUAGACCCACUUGAAAUUCUUGAUUUUAAUCAACGAUUGAAGGGUCGACCAAAGAAAAACUCACCGCAAUUGGCAUCCAUCACCUUCACCCAUCCAAUCUUGGAAACAAAAAAAUAAAAAUAAAAAAAAAAUAAAAAAGGAAGAAAAAAACAGAGAGAAAAAAGAAAAAGAUCUGCAAAAUUCGAAAACCCAGUCAGAUAAGAUUGGCAGAGGGACCUCAAAAACCAAAAGGAAAUAGUAAUAAAUAAAUUUGUUUUUGGGUUAUCUGUGAAGAGAGUAAAAUAAGCAAGCGUGCCACGUUACGAAAAACAGCCUAUAGAAGCGCGCUUCCCAGACCCCCAAAAACCCCGAGUCUCUCUAAAAUACCAAAUUUUUUCUUUUUUUUUUAAAUUUCUUUUUCCUUUUUUAAUUCAUAAAAGCUCACAUAUACACACAAAAAACUUAGAACAAGGGAAGCCCCAAAACCAAAACUUUCCCCGAACCCACAACCCAGUAGUCUCAGUCGGUCUUCUUUUCCAACCAUAAUCAAAAGAAAACCAGACCACUUCUUUGUAAUUGUACCCCACCCCACACGUCUUUGUUUUCUCUAAUCUCCUUCUCAUCUCUCCAUAAUUCCCUACCAUUAAACUACCCAUCUAUCUAUCUUUUGUAUUUUCUUUCUUUUUUUCGGUUUUUUAGGCCACGGGGACCUGCACAUCUAUUAUCACUAUAGCCAAGAUUUGCCAGAUUGAGAGAGAUAGAUAGGUUGUAGCUACCAAAAUACCCAAACCCAUUAUUUAAAAAAAGGGACAACACCAAAAGGUUCCAACUUGAAAACCCAUCACACACAUAACCCACAAAUUUUUUUCACCGAAUCUCACAACCCAAUUGGGAUAAAGGUGAUCUUCGAGCAAAACUCCCCCUUCUUUAAAGGUAAGGUACAUUACUCUGCCACUCCUCGCAUGUAUCUAAUCUCUUAUCUUCUCUAGUCUCUCUGUAAUUUUGGCUGAGGCAUGCCAUGCCCAUCUAUGUAUGUCACAUUUUUUUUUCUUUGUUUCUUUCUUUUCUCUUGCUGUCAAUUUUUGCUGACUUAUUCUAGCUCACCACCCCAACCCAAGCCAGCCCAAACCCUCUUCUUCUACAAUAUUUUGACACCACCUUUUUAAACACAAACAUGGUAGGAAAAUAAAGGCACGAACUUGAACCUUCUUCUUCUUCGAAUGUACUUUUUAAUUGGUUCUUUUUUUUUGGUUUUUUCUUUAAAGAGCAUGUAUAUGUUAUGUUUGGUACAUCAUUUUGGUUUCAUUUUUGAUCUGUACCCACUUGUGCAUGUUCCCGAUCCGUACAUGGGGCUGUCUGUUGCGGAUUUAUCUAGGGUUUUUCAUCAUAAUGUUACCAAUUAAUGGUAAAGUCUAUGGCUUUAACCAAUUUUAAGUACUGGGUUUAGUGAAUUAGGGUUUGUUCUUGAGAUAUGGGUCAAUUUCACAUGCUGAGCUCGUUGGUUGUAAUUAAAGUGUGAUGCAGCUUCUUUCUGAUUGUGUUAGGCAAGUUUAUGGGCAGUGUUUUGCAGUUUGAUUUUGGGUGAGAUUAUUUUGGAGAAACUAUGGUACCAUAGAUGUACAGAGAUGUAAGGAACCGGGGUUCAUUGGUUGUUGAUUUUACGUCACAUAGUUUUCUAUGCAGAUUGUUGUGUAUUACCGCUUCUGACUUGAGGAGCACCAUUGUAAUGCCUUUUAGUUAUAUUAUAUUGGUUACCAAUUUUUAGUAUCUGUUUUGAUGUGUAUAUUUCUAGAAGUAAAAGGUUUUAUGUAUAUUUAAUGCAAAGAUUGAAUCUUUUUCUUGCAAACUUCAUUUUAGUUAUAAUAAAUGGAUAUCUGAACGCAGUUUUCUUUUUGUACCCCUAGAAUAUACUUCUGCUGGAAAAUAUAUUUUUUAGACACUGGAGCUUUUUGGAUGGGUAAUUCUGUUACGAUUGUAGAAUCAUAUAUUUAUUGUGAAAAUUUCCCUUCUUUAUCUUUUAAUCUUAAAGAAGAAGAAUAUAAUACUAUGCCAUUUUACUAGAUAUAACAAUUAAGUAACUUUUUUUUUGUUUUUUUGAAAUUAAGAACAUGGGAUAAGAUAGAAAGAAAUGCAAAAAAGAAAAAAAGAAAAAAAAAAAGGAAAUUGCUAGUUUCUGGAGAUUGCAUGCUAGUUGAAUGAAUUAUUAUCAAAUAAAAAAUGAAUGCAGGAUAUGACAUCAAACUUAGUUUCCUAAUGGAAUGUCAUAUCAUAUCAAGAUACAGUUAAGUUCAGUUCAUUGAUUCAACUUUAUUCGGUCUUCUAUACAUGGAUUGAUAUAUCUGAAAGUUCAUGUAAUUUCUUUUUAAAACUAUAUCCUUGAGCCUAAAUGGAUUAAGCUAGACAGUUGUCUAAUAUGUGGUUCAAAUUGAUUGUGAGCUAUGUUUUUUCGCAGUUUUUGCCUAAUAUGCGGUUCAAAUUGAUAUGUGGUUCUUUUGCAGUUAUAGCAUUUGUCAUCUAGAUGGGAAAUCUAAUUUUCGUUAUUCU
rnacentral:lncRNA from 1 species